AUACGGAGGGGACUAGCGUUGUUCGGAAUUACUGGGCGUAAAGAGUACGUAGGCGGUCUAUCAAGUUGGGUGUGAAAGCCCGGGGCUCAACCCCGGAACUGCACUCAAAACUGAUAAACUAGAGAUCGGAAGAGGUAAGUGGAAUUCCCAGUGUAGAGGUGAAAUUCGUAGAUAUUGGGAAGAACACCAGUGGCGAAGGCGGCUUACUGGUCCGAGACUGACGCUGAGGUACGAGAGCGUGGGGAGCAAACAGGAUUAGAAACCCCAGUAGUCC
rnacentral:rRNA from 1 species